rnacentral:lncRNA from 1 species
GCUUUUAACAUUUAUCUGGAGUUAAUUCAGUUUAUCUAGAUCCAUACCUUUCCUUCUCUGCUGAGUCAUGUAUAGUUUGAGAUCUCAAGAGCCUUGUUCACUGCAAAUUUCACAUUUAAAUUUGAACUUGUCAUCUAGAAACAACUAACCACUUUGUCCAUUUAGUUUAGCUUAAUGACUUCUUUCUAGUAAUAGCAAAUAAAUUCUGCUUGUUCCUCAGUCUUGAGAGUUUGAACCCAAUUUUGAUUUCUUCUUUUCCCUCAUAUACAGCUUAUAAUCAGUCUCUAAACACUGUUGAUUGUUUUGUCAUAAAGUUCAUCUAACUCCCAGUCUUUUUAUCUCUACUUCAUUCUUCACAUCAUUACUGAUUUAAUUCUUAAGAAUUAACUUGUGUGUUUCACUACUACUCAGAAUCCUUCAAUGAUUCAGUAAUUGGUACUUAACUUCACCCUAUCCUCCCAAUUUAAUUUUGAUAUAUGUAUGUAUUUGUACUUACCUACACUACUCGUUCAUGACCAUCUCAGUUUAGUUAAAAUGGUACUCAUAGAUCACUGAAAGUAUAUCUCAUUACUUAGUUUAUUCAUGCUGAUUUCAUAUUUUUAAAAUGUGAUCCCUUCCAGAUCAUUCAUGUGAAAUCAGACAAGCUGAUGUGAACUAUAAAAUCACUAUCUUUUGAGGCAUAAUAUGAAGAAUCCUAAUAUACAUCCUAUGUCAUAAAAAUUGUAUCAGUACAAAAUAAUGUCAAUUUUUUCACGUGAGAAAAUUUUUAUAUCUUGUUUUCAAAUAUUCAGUACAUAAGCACAUAAAUAACUGCCUUAAAUUGAGUCUUCUAUGGAAUUUGAAAGGUUUUGAAAUCAAAAUCUCUUGUGAAAUAUGUCUGUUGUCUUUUAUACAUGGAUAGCAACACCUUUAAGUAAAUGUAAAGUCUUCUUAGGUCAAGUGGCAAGUUGCCACCAAGGACAUACAAGUAGCAUAUUGGUGACUUGAUGAUUUUCCCCAACAACUACUCAUAACUUCAUUACUUAGUCAAAAGACAUACACUGAGAGAUGGUUUGCAAUGUUUAAUGCAUGUGAAUAUGUUUACUGUGUUUUUAAAUAAGAUUGUCUCUGGUGGUUUUGUCUUCCCAUAUUUUGCAUAAUCAAAUGCAUCUAACUGUGAAUUUUAUAUAGAAUUACAUUAUAUAGCAUCUGAUGCUUAUUUACCAACUUUGUUUAUUCUGUUUAAAAUUAACAGGUUAUACUGAAAAUUGAUAAAAUGUUUUCAUUUUUUACUGUAUAAGCAAUAAAAUAUAUUAUCCUAAAUA